rnacentral:rRNA from 1 species
CAUGAUCAUAAGUAUAAGCAAUUAUACAGCGAAACUGCGAAUGGCUCAUUAAAUCAGUUAUCGUUUAUUUGAUAGUACCUUACUACUUGGAUAACCGUGGUAAUUCUAGAGCUAAUACAUGCUAAAAAUCCCGACUUCGGAAGGGAUGUAUUUAUUAGAUUAAAAACCAAUGCCCUUCGGGGCUCUCUGGUGAUUCAUAAUAACUUCUCGAAUCGCAUGGCCUUGCGCCGGCGAUGGUUCAUUCAAAUUUCUGCCCUAUCAACUUUCGAUGGUUGGGUAUUGGCCAACCAUGGUUUCAACGGGUAACGGAGGGUUAGGGCUCGACCCCGGAGAAAGAGCCUGAGAAACGGCUACUACAUCCAAGGAAGGCAGCAGGCGCGCAAAUUACCCAAUCCCGACUCGGGGAGGUAGUGACAAUAAAUACUGAUACAGGGCUCUUUCGGGUCUUGCAAUUGGAAUGAGUACAAUUUAAAUCCCUUAACGAGGAACAAUUGGAGGGCAAGUCUGGUGCCAGCAGCCGCGGUAAUUCCAGCUCCAAUAGCGUAUAUUAAAGUUGUUGCGGUUAAAAAGCUCGUAGUUGAACCUUGGGCCUGGCUGGCCGGUCCGCCUCACCGCGUGUACUGGUCCGGCCGGGCCUUUCCCUCUGGGGAACCGCAUGCCCUUCACUGGGUGUGUCGGGGAACCAGGACUUUUACUUUGAAAAAAUUAGAGUGCUCAAAGCAGGCCUUUGCUCGAAUACAUUAGCAUGGAAUAAUAGAAUAGGACGUGUGGUUCUAUUUUGUUGGUUUCUAGGACCGCCGUAAUGAUUAAUAGGGACAGUCGGGGGCAUCAGUAUUCAAUUGUCAGAGGUGAAAUUCUUGGAUUUAUUGAAGACUAACUACUGCGAAAGCAUUUGCCAAGGAUGUUUUCAUUAAUCAGUGAACGAAAGUUAGGGGAUCGAAGACGAUCAGAUACCGUCGUAGUCUUAACCAUAAACUAUGCCGACUAGGGAUCGGACGAUGUUAUUUUUUUUGACUCCUUCGGCACCUUACAAUAAAUCAAAGUGUUUCGGCUCCUGGGGGGAGUAUGGUCG